CUGUGUUGUGGGUAUGCAGCAGCGUGUCCUGUGACAGUCCCAGUGGGGGACUCGGCCUCUCCUCCCGUGACACGGAGGUGACUGGCAUUAAUUGAAAUAACGAUAGUGGUUGAUUUCAUAAACAGGGUCUCCGAGGUUUUAAAGGCGAGAAGGGUGAGCCGGGGUUACCUGGGCUGGACGGCCUGGAUGCCCCAUGCCCAUUGGGGGAAGAUGGCCUUCCAGUUCAAGGCUGCUGGAAUAAGUGAUGAUUCUAACCCUGGACUGGCCUAUGUGUGUUACUGUACAUAGAAUAUUUAUUUUUAUACAGUGUUCU
rnacentral:lncRNA from 1 species